GAUGAACGCUAGCUACAGGCUUAACACAUGCAAGUCGAGGGGUAACGAGAGGAAAGCUUGCUUUCCUUGUCGACGACCGGCGCACGGGUGAGUAACGCGUAUCCAACCUGCCCCCAACUAGGGAAUAACCUUGCGAAAGUAAGACUAAUACCCUAUAAUUUCCUCAGAUGUCAUCUGACGAGGAAUAAAGAUUUAUCGGUUGUGGAUGGGGAUGCGUCUGAUUAGCUUGUUGGCGGGGUAACGGCCCACCAAGGCAACGAUCAGUAGGGGUUCUGAGAGGAAGGUCCCCCACAUUGGAACUGAGACACGGUCCAAACUCCUACGGGAGGCAGCAGUGAGGAAUAUUGGUCAAUGGGCGGAAGCCUGAACCAGCCAAGUAGCGUGCAGGACGACGGCCCUAUGGGUUGUAAACUGCUUUUAUACAGGAAUAAAGUUAGCCACGUGUGGUUAUUUGUAGGUACUGUAUGAAUAAGGACCGGCUAAUUCCGUGCCAGCCGCCGCCGUAA
rnacentral:rRNA from 1 species